UCUCGCAGGGACAGAACCGGGUGGGGGCGGAAGGCGGGGUGGGCUUAAUGCAUCCCAGAAUCUGGCUUAGGGCUCCCCUGUGCUGGCCUGGCUUGGAGCGCUCUGCAUUCCACCCCCAGCCAACAAGGCAGAACUCCUGGUUUCACUUAGGCAGAGCUGGACUAAGGCUGGACAGGGCAGCAGUGUCCACGGCUAGGGGCAGCGCCAUUCCUGCGGCCAAAGCACAGGUGGUGAACCAAGUACCAAUGGCACGUCUGUCUGUCUCACUGCGCCGGGCCAAAUUAAUCUAUGAUUGGAAGAUCCUUCAUCAAGCCUGCUCUUCCACCAUCUCUUUCUGGUUCCACUUAUUAAGAUAGCAGGGGAACCCUUUCAGUAGAGAAACCACGUCACACAGGGCCCUCUCCCACACAUCCCAGCCAAACUGCUUUAGAAAGAAAACAAGUGGACCUCCCUCCCUCGGCAGGAAGACCCUUCCCGUCGAGCAGACAACAGGAAGCCCCAACCUGAAACGCCUGUUUGGUGGAGGAACUAAGGGGUACGGAAGGGACGCCCCCAGCUGCCUACUUUUCCUACCCGCGCCUGGUUGGGCCGUCCAGCCGGGACCAGAACUCCAAGGUUCUAAGGAUGGAAGAGUCAUAGUUGGAAAGAGCCUGGGUACCUGAAUCACUGCAUGGAGGAAAAUCACUUGCUGAACAGGAACAUCCUCAUUGGACUAGCUAUGUGGGGACACCUACGGGGCCAGAGGUUGAAGGCACAGGCGUUAAUAUCUCCAACUGUUCUGACUCCAGGAAUUUGGUUGGUAACAUUGAAGAGACACUACUCACCUGCCUGAAAUGCCCUUCAUUAUCUUUUCAGGUUGCAAGGGCUCUGGAACAGCCCUUAAAGUACUCACAUAAAGGUUCCGGAGAUAAGGGGACAGCAUGUUUGGAGACCAUUUCAGAAAUUCUGCCUGUCACAGUUCAACUUCUCGUCCCCAGACAUUCACGUUUCUCCCAGGUGCAAAAUACGUUUACCCUCUCACCUGAGGUUCCCAAGUCUCAUGUCAUUAAUGCAUUAGU